UAGAAUUUAGUGGAAAAAGUGGGGACUCUACCGAACCUUAAAACAGACCCAGCUUUCCUCCUUCCUGUGGAUGCUCUCCACCUCUCACUGGAGCCUCCAUGUCAGCCACCUAUUCAUGGAGGCACUCUCCACCUGAGAACCCCCUGCUACACCUGCCUGGGAUUCAGGAGCAAGAAAUACACACUGGAAAAAAAAGAUGGCAUUGUCAAAAACUGGUGCUGCUCAAACUGGAUGGCUGCAUAAUAGAAAAAUGCAAAUAGAUUCAUGCUUAUCACUUGCGCAAGCUCAACUCCAAGUGGAUCAGAGAUCUCAAAACAAGAUAUGCUGAGCCUGAUAGAAGAAAAGUGGGGAAUAGUUUUGAAUCAUCGGCACAGGUUGGUACUAGAAACCACUCUACAGACUGCUGAAGGAGAAAGGCAGUUCCCCAUACUUUCUUCCAGUGAUUCACUCAUGACUAGAAAACAGACAGAAUAUAUUUUUUUUUCCUGCCAAGAAAACCUUGUAUAUCUUCAGAGUGUUGCAGAAUGUGCUAGAAGGGCUCUGAGGCCUCUGCUGAUGGGACUGGAUGAAGCCUGAAAUGGUUUUACGAUGCUUCUUCCCUUCCCACUCACUGCACUCCUUCCUGCAGGCGCCACUUCAGUCCUCUCAAGCGUGUGGAGCUGAAUGGAAAUUUUAUACUAUUGGUAGCAGCAGUUAGAAAAUGUCUGGUGUGGGAAGGAGGAUCUAACAGAACAAGAUGGUCCUUGAGGAUUACAUGUGUCUGUGUUGUCUCCCCAGAGGCAGAGACGGAGAUUGACUGAACCACCAUUCAGAUGGUGCUAUUAAAUUCCAGGAGGUACUUCUGGUGGUGAGUUCUCCAUCACCACUCAGCAUUCCUAGCCAUCAGUCACUGGUGAACGAGGAGAGAGAGGGUGGGGAGAGGGGACCUGACAUACCACAUUCUGUUCAGCUCAUGACUUAGAGCUGAACAGCAGCGUGUGCUGGUACAGGGGCAGAUGAUCUGAUUCUGGCACUGGGAAUCUGUGUUUUAGGCAUCACUUUUAUAAUUUAAGUAAAACUGAGGAUUCAAAAACCAC
rnacentral:lncRNA from 1 species